rnacentral:tRNA from 2 species
GCGCCACUAGCUCAGUUGGAUAGAGCAUCAGCCUUCUAAGCUGAGGGUCACAGGUUCGAGUCCUGUGUGGCGCG